GGGUUGUGAGGUUAAGCGACUAAGCGUACACGGUGGAUGCCCUGGCAGUCAGAGGCGAUGAAGGGCGUGCUAAUCUGCGAUAAGCGCCGGUAAGGUGAUAUGAACCGUUAUAACCGGCGAUACCCGAAUGGGGAAACCCAGUGUGACUCGUCACACUAUCAUUAACUGAAUCCAUAGGUUAAUGAGGCGAACCGGGGGAACUGAAACAUCUAAGUACCCCGAGGAAAAGAAAUCAACCGAGAUUCCCCCAGUAGCGGCGAGCGAACGGGGAGGAGCCCAGAGCCUGAAUCAGCAUGUGUGUUAGUGGAAGCGUCUGGAAAGGCGCGCGAUACAGGGUGACAGCCCCGUACACAAAAGCGCAUGUGCUGUGAGCUCGAUGAGUAGGGCGGGACACGUGGUAUCCUGUCUGAAUACGGGGGGACCAUCCUCCAAGGCUAAAUACUCCUGACUGACCGAUAGUGAACCAGUACCGUGAGGGAAAGGCGAAAAGAACCCCGGCGAGGGGAGUGAAAAAGAACCUGAAACCGUGUACGUACAAGCAGUGGGAGCACCCUUUGGGGUGUGACUGCGUACCUUUUGUAUAAUGGGUCAGCGACUUAUAUUCUGUAGCAAGGUUAACCGAAUAGGGGAGCCGGAGGGAAACCGAGUCUUAAU
rnacentral:rRNA from 1 species